CUCUUCAUUUCUUUCCUGUGCCUUC
rnacentral:piRNA from 1 species